CAGUCGCCGCGGUAAUACGAAGGGUGCAAGCGUUGUUCGGAAUUACUGGGCGUAAAGCGCACGUAGGCGGAUCGAUCAGUCAGGGGUGAAAUCCCAGGGCUCAACCCUGGAACUGCCUUUGAUACUGUCGAUCUGGAGUAUGGAAGAGGUGAGUGGAAUUCCGAGUGUAGAGGUGAAAUUCGUAGAUAUUCGGAGGAACACCAGUGGCGAAGGCGGCUCACUGGUCCAUUACUGACGCUGAGGUGCGAAAGCGUGGGGAGCAAACAGGAUUAGAUACCCCUGUAGUCCCUGUCUCUUAUAA
rnacentral:rRNA from 1 species